rnacentral:lncRNA from 1 species
AGUUGCAAACUCUUGCUGGAGCCUGGGCUCUAACUGGCUGUUAAAGAAAAGCCAGGAGACAGACCAUUGAUCCCCAUUUAUUCUUAAACAUGACCAAUUAGCAAACCUUAGAACAUUCUGAUCUGGGUGCAAAAGUUUGAUGUGAUCAAUCACACUUUAUAACAUUUUUUUUAAGAUGGGAUCUUUCUGCAUAGUCAAGGCUAUCCUCAACUUUAUCAUUCUGUCCUAGCCUCGGGAACACUGGGAUUACAGGUGUGUGUCACUAAAACAAAUUCAGUACAUUUUAUUGCAUUUAGUUCCUAUAGAGUUGACUCUAACUAAGAAAUUCUGCUUUAUUUUUGCAUUAUCUCAUCAUUGUUGUGAGCCAAUUUAUUUGAAACUAUCUAAGAAAUAAUAUUGUGCCAAAGUCUAUUAUGUUUCACCACAGCAUAUCUCCUACAUUCACAGUUUAUCUGUCAUUCACAACAUUGUCAGACUGAAAUGUAUAUAUUAGAAGUACUUCUCCAUGUGGCCCUGGUUGUCCUGGAACUCACUCUAUAAACCACGUUGGCCUCAAACUCACAGAGAUCUACCUGUCUCUGCUUCCUGAGUGCUGGAAUUAAAAACAUGUUCCACCUCUGCCCAGAAACUUAAUAUUUAAUUAUCCAUCCAAAUUUAUACGGUGAUUUCCCAAUGCCUACACACACACACACACACACACACACACACACACACACAC